UACACUCCUGCGGGAGGCAGCAGUGGGGAAUUUUGGCCAAUGGGCGAAAGCCUGAUCCAGCAAUGCCGCGUGAGUGAAGAAGGCCUUCGGGUUGUAAAGCUCUUUUGUCAGGGAAGAAACGGUGAGAGCUAAUAUCUCUUGCUAAUGACGGUACCUGAAGAAUAAGCACCGGCUAACUACGUGCCAGCAGCCGCGGUAAUACGUAGGGUGCAAGCGUUAAUCGGAAUUACUGGGCGUAAAGCGUGCGCAGGCGGUUUUGUAAGUCUGAUGUGAAAUCCCCGGGCUCAACCUGGGAAUUGCAUUGGAGACUGCAAGGCUAGAAUCUGGCAGAGGGGGGUAGAAUUCCACGUGUAGCAGUGAAAUGCGUAGAUAUGUGGAGGAACACCGAUGGCGAAGGCAGCCCCCUGGGUCAAGAUUGACGCUCAUGCACGAAAGCGUGGGGAGCAAACAGGAUUAGAUACCCGUGUAGUCCCAUGAU
rnacentral:rRNA from 1 species